rnacentral:rRNA from 1 species
AACGUAGGAGACAAACGUUAUCCGGAGUUACUGGGCGUAAAGGGCGUGUAGGUGGUUUCGUAAGUCUGGCGUGAAAUUUCUCGGCUUAACCGAGGCAGGUCGUCGGAUACUGCGGAACUUGAGGACGGUAGAGGCGUGUGGAAUUCCGGGUGUAGUGAUGAAAUGCGUAGAGAUCCGGAGGAACACCAGUGGCGAAGGCGACACGCUGGGCCGUACCUGACACUGAUGCGCGACAGCAUGGGGAGCAAACAGG